rnacentral:rRNA from 1 species
UACAGAGGUCUCGAGCGUUAGGCGGAAUCACUGGGCUUAAAGCGUGUGUAGGCGGAUUGGUAAGUACUUUGUGAAAUCCCACGGCUUAACCGUGGAACUGCUUGGUAUACUGCCAGUCUUGAGCCAGCUAGGGGCUACCGGAACAAAUGGUGGAGCGGUGAAAUGCGUAGAUAUCAUUUGGAACGCCAAUGGUGAAAACAGGUAGCUGGGGCUGUGCUGACACUGAGACACGAAAGCCAGGGGAGCAAACGGG